rnacentral:rRNA from 1 species
UACAGAGGGUGCAAGCGUUGUUCGGAAUUACUGGGCGUAAAGGGCGCGUAGGCGGUUUACCAAGUCAGAUGUGAAAGCCCGGGGCUCAACCCCGGAAGUGCAUUUGAAACUGGUAGACUAGAGUGCAGUAGAGAAUGGCGGAAUUCCCAGUGGAGAGGUGAAAUUCGUAGAUAUUGGGAGGAACACCGGUGGCGAAGGCGGCCAUUUGGGCUGUAACUGACGCUGAGGCGCGAAAGCGUGGGUAGCAAACAGG